rnacentral:rRNA from 1 species
GACGAACGCUGGCGGCGUGCUUAACACAUGCAAGUCGAACGCUGAAGCUUGGUGCUUGCACUGGGUGGAUGAGUGGCGAACGGGUGAGUAAUACGUGAGUAACCUGCCCUUGACUCUGGGAUAAGCCUGGGAAACUGGGUCUAAUACUGGAUACGACAUGCCACUGCAUGGUGGUGUGUGGAAAGGGUUUUACUGGUUUUGGAUGGGCUCACGGCCUAUCAGCUUGUUGGUGGGGUAAUGGCCUACCAAGGCGACGACGGGUAGCCGGCCUGAGAGGGUGACCGGCCACACUGGGACUGAGACACGGCCCAGACUCCUACGGGAGGCAGCAGUGGGGAAUAUUGCACAAUGGGCGGAAGCCUGAUGCAGCGACGCCGCGUGGGGGAUGACGGCCUUCGGGUUGUAAACCACUUUCAGCACGGAAGAAGCGAGAGUGACGGUACGUGCAGAAGAAGCGCCGGCUAACUACGUG